AAUCAACGCUGGCGGCGUGCUUCAGACAUGCAAGUCGAACGCUUAAAGCUCCCUUCGGGGAGUGCAUAAAGGGGCGCACGGGUGAGUUACACGUAAGUAAUCUAACUUCGAGUGGGGAAUAACGUCCGGAAACGGACGCUAAUACCGCAUAAUGCAGCGGCACCGCAAGGUGACAGUUGUUAAAGCUUUAUCGCUUGAGGAGGAGCUUGCGGCAGAUGAGCUAGUUGGGAAGGUAAUGGCUUACCAAGGCCGCGAUCUGUAACCGGUCUAAGAGGACGGUCGGUCACACUGACACUGAAUAACGGGUCAGACUCCUACGGGAGGCAGCAGUCGGGAAUUUUGGGCAAUGGGCGAAAGCCUGACCCAGCAACGCCGCGUGAAGGCUGAAGUAUUUCAGUAUGUAAACCUCGAAAGAAUGGGAAGAAUAAAUGACGGUACCAUUUAUAAGCUCCGGCUAACUACGUGCCAGCCGCCGCAGUAAUAC
rnacentral:rRNA from 1 species